rnacentral:lncRNA from 1 species
UCGGCAUGGCUCUAUCUUCAGCCCAGUCUUUUUCUUACGGAAAGUAUUUUUUGAGGUUUUGGGCGUUCCAAGUCCUUGGCAGGGGAUGGCCCAUCAUUGUGGUGAGUCGGAAUGUUCCGAUUCUGAUGACUUCGGCCACCCGGUUUGGGCCUUCCCAGUUUUGAGCUAACUUGCCUCUUGCUCUGGUCGGGUCGCUGACUUUGGUCCUUCUCAGGACCAGGUCGCCUAGUCUGAUGGGCCGGGGUCGCACCCUUCGGUUGUAAAUCUUUGCGACCGCCCUUUUGUACGCGAGGGCCCUUACAUGUGCG